rnacentral:misc_RNA from 1 species
UUUUCUUACUCCUAAGUUUUUUCCUUAUACAAUUUAUUCCUACAAGUAAGGUGUGCUACAAUUUUAACAUUUCGAGCACACCCUCAAUGACGGCGGCAUCCCUGUGGUGAAUCGCCAUCCUGAGGCUGUGCUCGAGGAUAUCUUUUUCAGAAGUUUCCGCUGCCUUCGUCACAAAGCGACCAAUUGCGUCGUCACGGUCGUCGGUGUAAUAGACACAGGUGUUGGUGUGCCUAGUCACCGCAACU